ACUCCUACGGGAGGCAGCAGUGGGGAAUCUUAGACAAUGGGCGCAAGCCUGAUCUAGCCAUGCCGCGUGAGUGAUGAAGGCCUUAGGGUUGUAAAGCUCUUUCGUGGGGGAAGAUAAUGACGGUACCCCAAGAAGAAGCCCCGGCUAACUCCGUGCCAGCAGCCGCGGUAAUA
rnacentral:rRNA from 1 species